AACGCACCUUGCGCUCCCUGGUAUUCCGGGGAGCAUGCCUGUUUGAGUGUCAUGGAAUUCUCAACUUCUAAUACUUUUUUGUAUCAGAAGCUUGGAUUUGGAGGCUUGUGCUGGCUCUAACGAGUCCGGCUCCUCUUAAAUGAAUUAGCGUGAAUCACUAUGGAUCGCUUCGGUGUGAUAAUUAUCUGCGCCGUGGUCGUGAAGUAUCAAUCAAGUUCUCGCUUCUAAUCGUCCUUCACGGGACAAUUAACCCUGACUUUUGACCUCAAAUCAGGUAGGACUACCCGCUGAACUUAA
rnacentral:misc_RNA from 1 species